AUUGAACGCUGGCGGCAGGCCUAACACAUGCAAGUCGAGCGGGGUUUUCGGACCUAGCGGCGGACGGGUGAGUAAUGCGUAGGAAGCUACCCGAUAGAGGGGGAUACCAGUUGGAAACGACUGUUAAUACCGCAUAAUGUCUACGGACCAAAGUGUGGGACCUUCGGGCCACAUGCUAUCGGAUGCGCCUACGUGGGAUUAGCUAGUUGGUGAGGUAAUGGCUCACCAAGGCGACGAUCCCUAGCUGGUUUGAGAGGAUGAUCAGCCACACUGGAACUGAGACACGGUCCAGACUCCUACGGGAGGCAGCAGUGGGGAAUAUUGGACAAUGGGCGCAAGCCUGAUCCAGCCAUGCCGCGUGUGUGAAGAGGGCCUUCGGGUUGUAAAGCACUUUCAGUAGGGAGGAAGGGUUAAGUGUUAAUAGUACUUAACUUUGACGUUACCUACAGAAGAAGCACCGGCUAACUCUGUGCCAGCAGCCGCGGUAACAC
rnacentral:rRNA from 1 species